AAGCACGCGAGGUUUAUGUCUGCUGGUGUGAGCUACGGUUCAAAUUCCCACAAUAACAAUGGAGUUAGCUCAGCUCCUAUAAACACAUUUUCAGCUUCCUCAGAGUGCUUUCUUGAAAGUUUUGGAAUCCCUUCAUCAAUUGCCCAGAUUUUUCAACAUUUCUACAACAAUGG